rnacentral:rRNA from 1 species
CCUACGGGUGGCAGCAGUGGGGAAUAUUGGACAAUGGGGGCAACCCUGAUCCAGCCAUGCCGCGUGUGUGAAGAAGGCCCUCGGGUUGUAAAGCACUUUCAGUGAGGAAGGACGCCUGGUGGUUAAUACCCAUCAGGAAAGACAUCACUCACAGAAGAAGCACCGGCUAACUCCGUGCCAGCAGCCGCGGUAAUACGGAGGGUGCGAGCGUUAAUCGGAAUUACUGGGCGUAAAGCGCGCGUAGGUGGCUUGAUAAGCCGGUUGUGAAAGCCCCGGGCUCAACCUGGGAACGGCAUCCGGAACUGUCAAGCUAGAGUGCAGGAGAGGAAGGUAGAAUUCCCGGUGUAGCGGUGAAAUGCGUAGAGAUCGGGAGGAAUACCAGUGGCGAAGGCGGCCUUCUGGACUGACACUGACACUGAGGUGCGAAAGCGUGGGUAGCAAACAGGAUUAGAUACCCCUGUAGUC